rnacentral:rRNA from 1 species
GACGAACGCUGGCGGCGUGCUUAACACAUGCAAGUCGAACGGAAAGGCCCUGCUUUUUUGCGCUGCUCUACUUGCGGACGGGUGAGUAACCCUUGAGUUACCUGCCCUUGACUUUGGGAUAACUUCAUGCAACUGGGGCUAAUACCGGAUAGGAGCUCCUGCUGCAUGGUGGGGGUUGGAAAGUUUCGGUGGUUGGGGAUGGACUCGCGUCUUAUCAGCUUGUUGGUGGGGUAGUGGCUUACCAUGGCUUUGACGGGUAGCCGGGCUGCGAGGGUCACAGGCCAAAUUGGGACUGAGAUACGGCCCAGACUACAACGGGAGGCAGCGGUGGGGAAUAUUGCACAAUGGGCGGAAGCAUGAUGCAGCAACGCCGCGUGGGGGAUGAGGGCCAUCGGGUUGUAAUCCGCUUUCGCCUGUGACGAAGCGUGAGUGACGGUAAUGGGUAAAGAAGCACCGGCUAACUACGUG